rnacentral:lncRNA from 1 species
UGACAGCAUUGAAGUAAGUUUGAUCUCCUUAGCAGUUAUGUGAGAUGACCAAGUCUCCCACUCCCAUGCUGGUGACAAAUAACACCUUCCAAGAUGUCAUGACCACAAGAGAAAUAGCACACUGCUCUUCUUUCAGAAGGAAAUCCAAAAGUGCCAGCAUCUGCCUGCGAACUUGCAAAAUUUACUUUAAAAUUUUAUUUAUACAUCAAAUACAUUUGUUAAUUA